AUUGAACGCUGGCGGCAUGCGUAACACAUGCAAGUCGAACGGUGUUUGGUGCUUGCACCAGACAUAGUGGCGGACGGGUGAGUAAUGCGUAGGAAUCUGUCUUAGAGAGGGGGACAACCCGAGGAAACUUGGGCUAAAAACCGCAUAUUCUCGAGAGAGGAAAGCAGGGGACCGGAAACGGCCUUGUGCUCUAAGGUGAGCCUACGUCGGAUUAGCUAGUUGGUAGGGUAAAAGCCUACCAAGGCGAUGAUCUGUAGCUGGUCUGAGAGGACGGACAGCCACACUGGGACUGAGACACGGUCCAGACUCCUACGGGAGGCAGCAGUGGGGAAUAUUGGACAAUGGGGGAACCCGUCGAUCCAGCGAUGCCGCGUGUGUGAAGAAGGACCUGCGGGUUGUUAAAGACACUUUCUAGUGGAAGGAAGAAGACGUCGUUGU
rnacentral:rRNA from 1 species